AUGAACAACCUCAAGGACGAGGAUACUGGUGCCUAUUUCUGUGCCAAAUCACCAAGUAGUGGGGAUGCUGUUGGUGGUCAUGUUGACAAUGCCGGGCUCCGGGCGGCCGUGACCCUGCUGGAGUGCGGGGGGGACCUCCAGCCCCCCGGGGGGUCCCUGACUCUGCUCUGCCGCGGGACUGGGUUCAAUUUUGGAGAAUUUGGGAUGGGCUGGUACCGCCAAAGACCCGGGAAGGCGCUGGAAUUUGUCGCAAGUAUGCACAAGGACGGCAGAACCUUCUACACGCCCUCAGUCAAGGGCCGGUUCAGGAUCUCCAGGGACAACGGGCAGAGCUCGGUGACGCUGACCAUGAACAGCCUCAAGUUGUGGCAGAACCGGUGA